rnacentral:rRNA from 1 species
UACAGAGGUCUCAAGCGUUGUUCGGAUUCAUUGGGCGUAAAGGGCGCGUAGGCGGCGGGGUAAGUCUGGUGUGAAAUCUCGGAGCUCAACUCCGAAAUUGCACUGGAUACUGCUCUGCUUGAGGGUUGGAGAGGAGAUCGGAAUUCGACGGUGUAGCAAGUGAAAUGCGUAGAUAUCGUGAGGAAGACCAGUGGCGAAGGCGGAGUCUCGGACAAAUCCUGACGCUGAGGCGCGAAGGCGUAGGGGAGCAAACGGG